UCUGCUCCGCACAGCCUCCCCGGGGCUGCUCUCGGGCGUGGGAUGCCCAAAGCACGGCGCUGCUGAUGCUCCUGCCCCGCCAGCUCAGCACACGCUGCUGCCCACCAAACCAGACAGAUACAGCUCUUGAGCCUGGCAUGAAGGGGUGCUACGUGCUGUAUGAAGCCUUGCUCACUCACCCUUCAUAGGAUCUCUCCCACAAACAAGGCUGUUUGCUCAGACUGCCUUCACGGAUCUACAGUGAUCCCUUUGCUCUUCACACGACAUCAAGAAUAAGAAAAAAAGCUGUACCUGCAUGAAAAGGAAUGUCCAUUUCCCUGAUUUUUCCCUCCAGCUCCAGGUACCCAAACGUGUCCUAGGGCUGCAGGGCAGCCUCCCGCAGCAUUAUCAGACAGCGGCGGUUCUUGAAGUCGAACAACUCGGAUGGAAGCGAGAGCGUGGCAGGACACCGAGGGCAGGACCGGGAUGCGCCCCUGGCCCUCUGCAGCUCCAGCUGUUUCUUCAGGUGCAGAUGUAGCAUGACAUCUAAAUGUAAAUCACCACAAGCAGCUCCUAACUUCAAUGCAUGUCAGGAGUUACUACACCAGGGCCAACUCUUUAGGUGCAGAGCAUCCUCCCCACUUUGAACCCUGCUGAAGUUCGUACAGAAACAGGCUGGCUACAAAGUGCUUCUGUCUUCCCUUCCCCCAGAUAUAGCAAUCAAUAGAGCAAACUACUUCAUCAUUUUCCUCCUAAUGAAAACUAUACCCUGUCUGCAAAACAAGGGAUGAGCCCUGUACUGGCACCGUCUAUGCCAACUAUUGCU